rnacentral:rRNA from 1 species
GACGAACGCUGGCGGCGUGCUUAACACAUGCAAGUCGAACGCUGAAGCUCAGCUUUUGUUGGGUGGAUGAGUGGCGAACGGGUGAGUAACACGUGAGUAACCUGCCUCCUUCUUUGGGAUAACUCCCGGAAACGGGUGCUAAUACUGGAUAUUCACUGGUCUUCGCAUGGGGGUUGGUGGAAAGGGUUUUUCUGGUGGGGGAUGGGCUCGCGGCCUAUCAGCUUGUUGGUGGGGUGAUGGCCUACCAAGGCUUUGACGGGUAGCCGGCCUGAGAGGGUGACCGGUCACAUUGGGACUGAGAUACGGCCCAGACUCCUACGGGAGGCAGCAGUGGGGAAUAUUGCACAAUGGGCGCAAGCCUGAUGCAGCGACGCCGCGUGAGGGAUGGAGGCCUUCGGGUUGUGAACCUCUUUCGCUCAUGGUCAAGCCGCAACAAUGGUUGUGGUGAGGGUAGUGGGUAAAGAAGCGCCGGCUAACUACGUG